rnacentral:rRNA from 1 species
AGAGUUUGAUCCUGGCUCAGGAUGAACGCUAGCUACAGGCUUAACACAUGCAAGUCGAGGGGCAGCAUCAUCAAAGCUUGCUUUGAUGGAUGGCGACCGGCGCACGGGUGAGUAACACGUAUCCAACCUGCCGAUAACUCGGGGAUAGCCUUUCGAAAGAAAGAUUAAUACCCGAUGGCAUAAUUAGACCGCAUGGUCUUAUUAUUAAAGAAUUUCGGUUAUCGAUGGGGAUGCGUUCCAUUAGGCAGUUGGUGAGGUAACGGCUCACCAAACCUUCGAUGGAUAGGGGUUCUGAGAGGAAGGUCCCCCACAUUGGAACUGAGACACGGUCCAA